AUUGAACGCUGGCGGCAUGCUUUACGCAUGCAAGUCGGACGGCAGCACAGAGAAGCUUGCUUCUUGGGUGGCGAGUGGCGAACGGGUGAGUAAUAUAUCGGAACGUACCGAGUAAUGGGGGAUAACUAAUCGAAAGAUUAGCUAAUACCGCAUAUUCUCUGAGGAGGAAAGCAGGGGACCUUCGGGCCUUGCGUUAUUCGAGCGGCCGAUAUCUGAUUAGCUAGUUGGUGGGGUAAAGGCCUACCAAGGCGACGAUCAGUAGCGGGUCUGAGAGGAUGAUCCGCCACACUGGGACUGAGACACGGCCCAGACUCCUACGGGAGGCAGCAGUGGGGAAUUUUGGACAAUGGGCGCAAGCCUGAUCCAGCCAUGCCGCGUGUCUGAAGAAGGCCUUCGGGUUGUAAAGGACUUUUGUCAGGGAAGAAAAGGCUGUUGCUAAUAUCAAUAGCUGAUGACGGUACCUGAAGAAUAAGCACCGGCUAACUACGUG
rnacentral:rRNA from 1 species